UACAGAGGGGGCGAGCGUUGUUCGGAAUUACUGGGCGUAAAGGGCGCGUAGGCGGCCCGCUAAGUCGAACGUGAAAUCCCCAGGCUCAACCUGGGAACUGCAUCCGAUACUGGAUGGCUUGAAUUCGGGAGAGGGAUGCAGAAUUCCAGGUGUAGCGGUGAAAUGCGUAGAUAUCUGGAGGAAUACCGGUGGCGAAGGCGGCAUCCUGGACCGACAUUGACGCUGAGGAGCGAAAGCUAGGGGAGCAAACGGG
rnacentral:rRNA from 1 species